GUAUGUAUCUCUUCUGUCAUACACCCUCACCCAAUACACACACACAAUAAAGAAAAAGAGUACCUAGCCCAGCAGAGUAUAACAGUUUUAAGAGUACCUAGCCCAGAUUGUCGAAAAUGUAUCUCUUCCUUCAGGCCAUAUGUGAAAAAGGAUUGCCCUGCACACACAUUUCUUUGAAUUUCAGUAACAUUUCAGUAAAAUUUGGAACAAAUGUGCUGUACACAAUAACAGCUUUUUUUAAUGCAUCUUACAACUUUCUAAUAACUUCAGAAAGACCUGUGACACUGUUAGUUCAUUAGGAACUCUUAAGGGCUCUUUUCCGACAUCCUGUUUGACCAGGGUUUACAUUUGAGGUCACACAUAGGCCAAACCCCCUUACUUCUGAAGCCAGUCCAGUGAGUUUCCCCACAGUCUGAGACCAGUCCAGAACAGUGGUUUUCCCUGCAGUCUGAGACCAGUCCAGAACAGUGGUUUUCUCUGCAGUCUGAGACCAGUCCAGAACAUUGAGUUUCCUUGCAGUCUGAGGUCAUUCCAGAACAGUGUUUCCCUGCAGUCUGAGACCAGUCCAGAACAUUGAGUUUCUUUGCGGUCCGAGACCAGUCCAGAACAGUGGUUUUCCCUGCACUCUGAGACCAGUCCAGAACGGUGGUUUUCCCUGCAGUCUGAGACCAGUCCAGAACAUUGAGUUUCCUUGCAGUCUGAGACCAGUCCAGAACAGUGUUUCCCUGCAGUCUGAGACCAGUCCAGGACUGUGAGUUUCCCUGCAGUCUGAUACCAGUCCAGAACAGUAAGUUUCCCUGCAGUCUGAGACCAGUCCAGGACAGUGAGUUUCUCUGCACUCUGAGGUCAGUGCUGAACAGUGAGUUUCCAUGCAGUCUGAGACCAGUCCAGAACAGUGAGUUUCCCUGCAGUCUGAGACCAGUCCAGAACAGUAAGAUUCUCAGCACUCUGAGGUCAGUGCUGAACAGUCUUUCCCUGCAGUCUGGGGUCAGUCCAGAACAGUGAGUUUCCCUACAGUCUGAGACCAGUCCCGAACAGUCUUUCUCUGCAGUCUGGGACCAGCCCAGAACAGUGAGUUCUUCUACAGGCUGAGACCAGUCCAGUGCUACUGUCAUGGCUUCACCUGAAGAGAUGUUCCAUCGCGUUCACAUUAUGUUCUAGGUAAGUAUUGUUCUGAUUGGUUGUUUUCAGUUGGGUUGAUCAAGAGGAAAGGAACAACAGUGGUUUCUUAUGUCCUUUAUAGUGGUGUGCUACUCCAUACCAGGGUCCAGAAGCUGGGAAACAGGCCAUCCUUCAUACCAGGGUCCAGAAGCUGGGAAACAGGCUGUCCUUCAUACUAGGGUCCAGAAGCUGGGAAACAGGCUGUCCUUCAUACUAGGGUCCAGAAGCUGGGAAACAGGCCGUCCUUCAUACUAGGGUCCAGAAGCUGGGAAUCAGGCCGUCCUUCAUUCUAGAGUCCAGAAGCUAGGAAACAGGCUGUCCUUCAUACUAGGGUCCAGAAGCUAGGAAACAGGCUGUCCUUCAUACUAGGGUCCAGAAGCUGGGAAACAGGCUGUCCUUCAUUCUAGAGUCCAGAAGCUAGGAAACAGGCUGUCCUUCAUACUAGGGUCCAGAAGCUGGGAAACAGGCUGUCCUUCAUUCUAGAGUCCAGAAGCUAGGAAACAGGCUGUCCUUCAUACUAGGGUCCAGAAGCUAGGAAACAGGCUGUCCUUCAUACUAGGGUCCAGAAGCUGGGAAACAGGCCGUCCUUCAUACUAGGGUCCUUGCUGCUAAAACAGC
ensembl:lncRNA